rnacentral:rRNA from 1 species
GGAUUUAUGCAAGACGAACUAGUGCGAAAGCAUUGCCAGGGAUGUUUCCUUAAUCAAGAACGAAAGUUAGGGGAUCGAAGGGCGAUCAGAAACCGCCGUAGUCUUAACUAUAAACUAUACCAACUAGGGAUUGGAGAGCGUACUUUUAAAGGCCUCGUCAGCACCUUUAGAGAAAUCAUAAGUCUCUGGGUUCUGGGGGGAGUAUGGUCGCAAGGCUGAAACUUAAAGAAAUUGGCGGAAGGGCACCACCAGGUGUGGAGCUGCGGCUUAAUUCGACUCAACACGGGGAAACUCACCAGGUCCAGACACGGGAAGGAUUGACAGAUUGAUAGCUCUUUCUUGAUUCUGUGGGUGGUGGUGCAUGGUCGUUCUUAGUUGGUGGAGUGAUUUGUCUGGUUAAUUCCGAUAACGAACGAGACCUUAACCUGCUAAAUAGCUCAGUCUCAAAAGUUGAGGCGUUCGCGCGUCUUUGUUUUUUGAGACAUUUUUUUUUGCUUGCGAAAGUGAGUAGAUUUGGGGAGCUUCUUAGAGGGACUACCAUGGUUUCACAUGGUGGAAGCUUGAGGCAAUAACAGGUCUGUGAUGCCCUUAGAUGUCCUGGGCCGCACGCGCGCUACAAUGAUGCAAUCAACAAGCUUGUGCUUUUCCGAAAGGAUUGGCUAAUCUUUUGAAUCUGCAUCGUGCCUGGGGAUUGAUCUUUGUAAUUUUUGAUCAUGAACUAGGAAUACCUAGUAAGUGCGACUCAUCACGUCGCGCUGAUUACGUCCCUGCCUUUUGCACACACCGCCCGUCGCUCCUACCGAUUGAAUGAUCAGAUGAAAUGCCCGGAUGCGUGGGGUGUUUAUCUGUUUAUGUAAAAGUAAGUGUGUGAAUGCCUUGUGGAGAAGAGUAGUGAAUCUUAUUAUUUAGAGGAAGGAGAAGUCGUAACAAGGUUUCCGUAGGUGAACCUGCCGA